GAUCCUGGCUCAGGAUGAACGCCAGCGACAGGCUUAACACAUGCAAGUCGAGGGGCAGCACGGGGUAGCAAUACCCCGGUGGCGACCGGCGCACGGGUGAGUAACACGUGUGCAACCAACCCCGUACCGGGAGAUAACCCGCGGAAACGUGGACUGACACCCCAUAAUACCUUUCCCCCGCAUGGGGGGGAGUUUAAAACCCCGGUGGUACGGGACGGGCACGCGCGACAUUAGGUAGUUGGCGGGGUAACGGCCCACCAAGCCGACGAUGUCUAGGGGUU
rnacentral:rRNA from 1 species